UUGAGAGAGUGGUACGCGUGGGUUCAUUUGAAAUCAAAACCCACUUCGACUUCCAGUCAUCUCUUUCCUUUAUCUCCUUCUCUCGCACGGAAACCUCUCGUUCUUCCCUCACCUUCUCGCUAAAAGGGUUUUUUGUCGCAGUCCUCUCGUCCCCGUUGUCGUCCCUCCCUCAUCUCCUUUCACUAAGGUGACCACUCAGGUGACACCUCUGCUUCCCUUGUCUUCUCUUAAGAAGGUCUCUUCCAUUAUCCUCUUUCUUUGUCGUGCCUCGCUCGUGUAGGUUGACGAACCCUAGCAUUCAUCUCCCAAGCAAGGUGCUCUGUCAUUCCGCACGACACAGUUUUGUUUCAUUGUCUUGUCCCAUCCGUCACUGCCUGGCUGAUAUAGCACGUCCUGGUACACCAUUUGGAUGGUUCACACAGUUGAAUGAGUCUGUGAAGAUAAAUAGAAAUGUUUUAAGUGAGUUAUGCAGUAAAUGGAUGAAAUGGAGGGGUGGGUUUUUAAUUAGAUCUGAUGUUGGUUUUAAUUUGUUAGCUGUCUGUGUAGGAUUAGGGUUGAGGGUAGUUAGAGACAAGAUUGAUUUAGGUAAGGUAGACAUAGUUAGCGAGUCUAGGAAGUUGUUUGAUACGUAAAAUGUUGACGUUAAUACGAUAUUCAAUUUCCUUAUGAAUCCGCCUAAACCUGUUAGUUUAGAAGACUUUUGUAAGCUUUACAUCUCUGGUUGGAACCUACAAUGUAGCUUUUACUUACAAUUGUCAGCUGGUGUGCUUAGUUAGUGUUGGGCCAAAAAAAAUUGACCACCUGCACUCCUUCGACCAGUAACAUGUCAUUUGUAUGCCAUUCAAACUCUCCUUGAGAACGUGCUCAUUGGUGGUCCCACAACUAUUUAAAAGUUAAACUCAGAUAUAGUUAGUGACAAUGUAGUUAACAUUUAGUUUUGUCAGCAGGUUCCACACCUUUCUCAUCUCUUUUGUAAUGUCAGAUAUGCGCCUUUAAUUCUUCUUCAAUUUACUCACGAAAAAAUCAUCCUCUCCUUCUUUGCCAACGCCGUGAUCAUCAACAUUGAGGGCACCACAAACUAUGUAAUUUGAUUUCUCUUCAUCACUUAUAGCCCAUUCCCAAGAAAUUUGCAAUAACAAACAAAACUUGACAAACAAAUCCUACAACUAAAUUUCAACAAGUUAUUAAUGGAAAUAAAAUACCUCCCUUUUAAAGAAGGACGUUUCACCCUGUAGCUACAAGGGUUUCACCCUACACUCCUAAAUCUUUCUAAACCUAAAACAUCUUUCUCCCUCGCACUUUCACGUUCAACUAUCUCUCGCGACCCUCAACCCUUCUUUUCCUUCCUUCUCCAUUCCUUCCACCUCCUUCACUUCUUCUUACAUAUUCGACUUCCUUCCUUUUCAUAGUUGCUUUUUUAUUCGGUGCAUUCCUUCCUUUCUCUUCCUUGAUGUAUUUUUUUGUUGAAGGUUUUGGCCUAUGUUGCAAAGAAAUUUCGCUGACGAAGAUUCAAUUGUUGAGUGGAAUGUGUCUACAUGCUCAAAAUAUGACUAAUCACACUUUGUAUAUCUUUCUGUCCUUUGAACCUUACUCUUUUGUACACCAUUUGUCUUCACUUUAUGCAAUGGAAGUAUCAUAAAUGUCAUUGCACGACAAACAAUGUCAAGUAACUUUUGUUUGACUGUCACCUUACCUUUCAACCAUUCUUCGAUCA